UACGGAGGGGCUAGCGUUGUUCGGAAUUACUGGGCGUAAAGCGCACGUAGGCGGCUUUGUAAGUUAGAGGUGAAAGCCCGGGGCUCAACUCCGGAAUUGCCUUUAAGACUGCAUCGCUAGAAUUGUGGAGAGGUAAGUGGAAUUCCGAGUGUAGAAGUGAAAUUCGUAGAUAUUCGGAAGAACACCAGUGGCGAAGGCGGCUCACUGGCCCGGUUCUGACGCUGAGGUGCGAAAGCGUGGGGAGCAAAGCAGG
rnacentral:rRNA from 1 species